rnacentral:rRNA from 1 species
UACGGAGGGUGCAAGCGUUAUCCGGAUUCAUUGGGUUUAAAGGGUGCGUAGGCGGAAGUUUAAGUCAGUGGUGAAAUCUUGCGGCUCAACCGUAAAACUGCCAUUGAUACUGAAUUUCUUGAGUAUACUGGAGGUAGGCGGAAUAUGUAGUGUAGCGGUGAAAUGCUUAGAUAUUACAUAGAACACCGAUUGCGAAGGCAGCUUACUAUAGUAUUACUGACGCUGAUGCACGAAAGCGUGGGGAGCGAACAGG